UUGUGAGCGGGGAAAUGCUCGUCUAUCUCGAGUAUUGUUAUCUUAUGCACCUGUGUUGAUUAUCAUACUGGCUAGUCCCAUCCUGUUUAUUAUUACUUAUAACAAAGGUAAACGUUCACUAACGGCAACAUUGACUGACUACACAAUAUACUGCGCUUUUCACUCUAGCUUGGAAAGCACCAGACUAAUUCCGGCUUUUGUCGAAUUGAUGCAAAAUUUGAUCGGGAAGUUUCGGUCCUCAAGCGGCAGGUUGUCAAAGCGGUGGCACUAAAUUUUAAAGGCGUAAGGCUAUAUUAAUUAUGAAAGUGUCUGUAAUGUAUGCGUGUGGUUUUGUAAUAACAAGGACAAAACCCAUUCUUCGCAUGUUUUUUGAAACAUUUGGAAAAAAAGUGGCGUUUCAACCUGGAAUGGGAAGUAGCCUAUAUAUAGUCAGUUAAUACGAGCGUAGAUUAUUUCAUGGGAUUCAUUCAUGGUUGGCAAACUCGUAUACCCAGAGAGUUGGUAUACGUUGGUAGAACUUUAUUUAACCUAUACUUCAUUUAAGGUUAUAUUAUAUGAUAAACUCUGAUUUUGUCCAAAAAUUUUUUUAUAUAUUCAUAUUAAGUAAUGAUAUAUCUCUCAAUUCCAGCAACUUUUUAAAGAAUAUGUUAAAAAGCGACCGAGAAAUAGGGGAAAAUGCUAUGACCACUGAAUAGCUUUGCGCGAAACUUGUAAUUAUGAUUGAACUUUGCUGGCGUCAAAUAUAAAGGUGUGAAAUUCACUAAAGUAUAAGCCGUUUGUCUGCUUUGUCAUUGUUCGGAGGUACAGUAUAUAUCAUUGCGACAACAUUAGAAAGCUUAUAAUAUAGUAUUUACAGAAUCUCUCGAAGUUCAAGCUAUGUGCGAUGUCGGCUUCGGUGACUUUUCUACUGCGUUUGCGUUUUGUAGUCUAUAGACCUAUACUUGCCAAAAAAUAUUAAAGUUUGCUUGUUUGUGAUUGGUUAACCGCACGAGGUCACAAGUGGAUUAACAUUGGGGGCGGAGAAAAUGACAGAAAGAGUGCAAACCUCGUCAAAUCUUAAAUCGUCGUUUGAAGAGAAAGCAAAAUUACCCAAUCUCCUCGACAAAAAAGUUUAACGACAGAGCGUUUUAUCCGAUUGGCCCUAAACUUGAUCACAAUGUUAAUCAAUAAUAAAGGAACAAAAAUGUGUUCGCGUUUUCGAUUUAGUGCAUUAUUUUUCAAUUUGGAAGCAUCUCUUCAACCGCUUAUACCCGCGCAAGGUAAGUCAAGUUGUCUGCUUUAUAUCAAAGCAAAUACAAUAGCUGUCAAAAAAUGCGAACACACUUUUCUUCUUUGGGCAUUUGAGAUGAGAAAUAUGAUAUUUUGGGAGCUCCUGAGUUAAACGAUCUGUCGUUAAAUCUCGUGGCGCAAGAGGUGCUAUUUUUCAAAAGAUGUUUCAUUGCGACUACAGGUCAAAACGUGGUGAAUUUUGGUUAAAACAGUAGCUUCUACAGUUAGUUAUCAUUACAUGUACCAAGUUUGAGAAACGUAACUAAAAAAUUGAGCACGCAGUGACAAUUUUUCUGAAAUAGGAAUCUAUCAUAUGAUGUAACCUUAAAGGAGUGAAUAUAUAGGUCCUGAACGGUUUGUGCCAGUGUACGUAGUGACAAUAACACCAGAAAACUGCGGAUUGAGAGGAUUCAACUACCUGAAAAAUACAAAAUUUCAAUUUUUCUUGUAUUUUUCAGGUAGUUGAAUCGCUCUCAAUCCGCAGUUUUCUGUGACUGAUUGAUCCCGCCAAUUUAUUCUCACUAGGGAGAUGGCUGUGCACUAUAUAUUAAACUAUUUUACAUGAAAUCUCUUUUAUAGGUUUUGGAAGUGUUAAAUCAGUAGCAUUAUUUCGAAAAUUAUAGUUUAUUAUAGAUCAAACGCAUCCUCAUGGAAGCAAGGGUUGUCUCAAAUUUGGGGUGGCAUAACCAUUUAGAUUUUGUUGGGGGCAGGAUCUGCCUAAGUCGUGCACCAGUUGGAGUUUUUAUGGUCCAUGUUUACGUAUUUUGUUCCCAUGCAUGCAGGCUACUAGUUUUGAUUCGGUGGUAGUCCCUAUAUAGACCCCCAUGAUUCGCCAUACCUCCAUUUAAAGUUUGGCUACCGGUCAAUACCGGCCUCCAUAAAAAUAGAAUCUACAGGCAUGUUCAAUUAAAUUGUUUUUCAUCUUUUUUUGUUUGUUAAUUUUAGUUAAACAACAAUUACGAUCAUCUGGGAGUUAUACAGCUGUUGAUCGUGCAGCGCUCACCACCUGUAGGAGAAAGUUUUUCUGGAUGGUGGUUGUUUUUACCAUAUG
rnacentral:lncRNA from 1 species